rnacentral:rRNA from 1 species
CUUGGCGGCUGCUAUACAUGCAAGUCGAGCGCACGAAGUUGAAAAGCUUGCUUUUCGACCAAGUGAGUGGCGGACGGGUGAGUAACACGUGGGUAACCUGCCCAUAAGAGGGGGAUAACAUCCGGAAACGGAUGCUAAUACCGCAUAUUUCAAAUGACCGCAUGGUCGCUUGAUGAAAGGUGGCUUCGGCUACCGCUUAUGGAUGGACCCGCGGUGCAUUAGUUAGUUGGUGAGGUAAUGGCUCACCAAGACAAUGAUGCAUAACCGACCUGAGAGGGUGAUCGGCCACACUGGGACUGAAACACGGCCCAAACUCCUACGGGAGGCAACAGUAGGGAAUCUUCCGCAAUGGACGAAAGUCUGACGGAGCAAUGCCGCGUGAGUGAAGAAGGUUUUCGGAUCGUAAAACUCUGUUGUUAGAGAAGAACAAGGAUGAUAGUAACUGCUCAUCCCCUGACGGUAUCUAACCAGAAAGCCACGGCUAACUACGUGCCAGCAGCCGCGGUAAUACGUAUGUGGCAAGCGUUGUCCGGAUUUAUUGGGCGUAAAGCGAGCGCAGGCGGUUCUUUAAGUCUGAUGUGAAAGCCCCCGGCUCAACCGGGGAGGGUCAUUGGAAACUGGAGAACUUGAGUGCAGAAGAGGAGAGUGGAAUUCCAUGUGUAGCGGUGAAAUGCGUAGAUAUAUGGAGGAACACCAGUGGCCAAGGCGACUCUCUGGUCUGUAACUGACGCUGAGGCUCGAAAGCGUGGGGAGCAAACAGGAUUAGAUACCCUGGUAGUCCACGCUGUACACGAUGAGUGCUAACUGUUGGAUGUUUCCGCCCUUCAUGCUGCAGCUAACGCAUUAGCACUCCGCCUGGGAGUACGACCGCAGGUUGAACUCAAGGAAUUGACAGGACCCGCACAAGCGGUGGAGCAUGUGGUUUAAUUCAAGCACGCGACACCUUACCAGGUCUUGACAUCCUUUGACCACUCAG